UAGCUGAGUUCUGAUUUAAAUGCAGGUGGGCUGCAGCUGUUCCUGAUGUUCCUAGUACAGCAACACAUCUCUGAUUAUCAUCAUCAAACAAACGUGGUAGAGCUGGGUGGUUCAGAGCCACAAUUGCUUCAUGAAAAUAGAAAAACUGUAACACAGCAUUGCAGGACUCUAUAUCAUUUUGACUCUGAUGGCCUGUUUCAGGUAAAGGCAGUGCUGCAGACAAACAUUCCGUGAUCCUUGAUAUACUGAACAGAUGACCUGGAGAAACUGCCUACCACAAUGAAGGAUAUUAUGGCUGAAUUUUGCAAAAGCAUGUUGUACAAAGUAUGGAUGUGGAUUCACAUGACCAGGCUAAACCACAAUGCAACUUUUGCUCACAGUAGAUAAAAGAUUAAAUGCUUUAACAUAUGCACAAGCUGGAACUCAAACUAUGCUUGCCAGCUCUUUUUGCAGGGAGAUGAUUGUCAUCUUAUGGAAAAGCUAUCCAGUAUAAACUCUUUCAUUAAAAUUCUGGAGGUGUUUUGAACAGUUGAAAUAGUGAAUCUAAGUAUUUUAAAGUGCUAGUGAUAUUGAAAUUGUGUAUAAAUUAAAAGCCUACCAGCAGCCCCUUCCUCUGACCAAAAACUGAGAUGCUUUGCUCUGAGUUUGUAGACUAAAAGCAACAGGUAGUUGGAGCAAACUUCCAUGUAUAAAAGAGGAGAUAAGCAGCGUUCCCAACAGCAGCAGUUCCCU